UACGGAGGGUGCAAGCGUUAUCCGGAUUCACUGGGUUUAAAGGGUGCGUAGGAGGGCAGGUAAGUCAGUGGUGAAAUCUCCGAGCUUAACUUGGAAACUGCCGUUGAUACUAUCUGUCUUGAAUAUUGUGGAGGUGAGCGGAAUAUGUCAUGUAGCGGUGAAAUGCUUAGAUAUGACAUAGAACACCAAUUGCGAAGGCAGCUCGCUACACAAUUAUUGACGCUGAGGCACGAAAGCGUGGGGAUCAAACAGG
rnacentral:rRNA from 1 species